rnacentral:rRNA from 1 species
AGAAACACUGCGGCGUGCUAUCAUGCGAGUCCAUCGAACGGACGAGAAGCUUGCUUCUCUGAUGUUAGCGGCGGACGGGUGAGUAACACGUGGAUAACCUACCUAUAAGACUGGGAUAACUUCGGGAAACCGGAGCUAAUACCGGAUAAUAUUUUGAACCGCAUGGUUCAAAAGUGAAAGACGGUCUUGCUGUCACUUAUAGAUGGAUCCGCGCUGCAUUAGCUAGUUGGUAAGGUAACGGCUUACCAAGGCAACGAUGCAUAGCCGACCUGAGAGGGUGAUCGGCCACACUGGAACUGAGACACGGUCCAGACUCCUACGGGAGGCAGCAGUAGGGAAUCUUCCGCAAUGGGCGAAAGCCUGACGGAGCAACGCCGCGUGAGUGAUGAAGGUCUUCGGAUCGUAAAACUCUGUUAUUAGGGAGGAACAUAUGUGUAAGUAACUGUGCACAUCUUGACGGUACCUAAUCAGAAAGCCACGGCUAACUACGUGCCAGCAGCCGCGGUAAU